GAUGAACGCUGGCGGCGUGCCUAAUACAUGCAAGUCGAGCGAACAGAUGAGGAGCUUGCUCCUCUGACGUUAGCGGCGGACGGGUGAGUAACACGUGGAUAACCUACCUAUAAGACUGGGAUAACUUCGGGAAACCGGAGCUAAUACCGGAUAAUAUAUUGAACCGCAUGGUUCAAUAGUGAAAGACGGUUUUGCUGUCACUUAUAGAUGGAUCCGCGCCGCAUUAGCUAGUUGGUAAGGUAACGGCUUACCAAGGCAACGAUGCGUAGCCGACCUGAGAGGAUGAUCAGCCACACUGGAACUGAGACACGGACGAGACUCCUACGGGAGGCAGCAGUGGGGAAUAUUGGAGAAUGGGCGAAAGCCUGAUACAGCAAUACAGCGUGGGUGAAGAAGGCCUUCGGGUCGUAAAGCCCUUUGGUGGGGAAAGAAAAGCAGCAGGUUAAUAACCCGCUGGUCUGACGGUACCCAAAGAAUAAGCACCGGCUAACUUCGUG
rnacentral:rRNA from 1 species